GGGGAUCUGGCUCAGUGGUAGAGCGCUUGCCUAGGAAGCGCAAGGCCCUGGGUUCGGUCCCCA
rnacentral:tRNA from 1 species